rnacentral:rRNA from 1 species
AGUGAACGCUGGCGGUAGGCCUAACACAUGCAAGUCGAACGGCAGCACAGUAAGAGCUUGCUCUUACGGGUGGCGAGUGGCGGACGGGUGAGGAAUACAUCGGAAUCUACUUUUUCGUGGGGGAUAACGUAGGGAAACUUACGCUAAUACCGCAUACGACCUACGGGUGAAAGCAGGGGAUCUUCGGACCUUGCGCGAUUGAAUGAGCCGAUGUCGGAUUAGCUAGUUGGCGGGGUAAAGGCCCACCAAGGCGACGAUCCGUAGCUGGUCUGAGAGGAUGAUCAACCACACUGGAACUGAGACACGGUCCAGACUCCUACGGGAGGCAGCAGUGGGGAAUAUUGGACAAUGGGCGCAAGCCUGAUCCAGCCAUACCGCGUGGGUGAAGAAGGCCUUCGGGUUGUAAAGCCCUUUUGUUGGGAAAGAAAAGCAGCAGGUUAAUACCCCGCUGUUUUGACGGUACCCAAAGAAUAAGCACCGGCUAACUUCGUG